rnacentral:rRNA from 1 species
GAGACUCUGUGCGCGUGCAUAUCAAUAAGCGGAGGAAAAGAAACUAACAAGGAUUCCCUUAGUAACGGCGAGUGAAGCGGGAAGAGCUCAAAUUUGAAAUCUUAAAGGGUUUCCCUUUACGAAUUGUAGUUUAAAGAAGUGUUUUCUGUUAGUAGAGUGGCAAAAGUUCUUUGGAAUAGGACAUCAUAGAGGGUGAGAAUCCCGUAUUUGGUCAUUCUUUCUAGCUUUGUGAUACACUUUCAACGAGUCGGAUUGUUUGGGAAUGCAGUCCAAAAUGGGUGGUAAAUUUCAUCUAAAGCUAAAUAUUGGCGAGAGACCGAUAGCGAACAAGUACCGUGAGGGAAGGAUGAAAAGAACUUUGAAAAGAGAGUUAAACAGUACGUGAAAUUGUCAAAAGGGAAGCGUUUGACACCAGUGUUGUUUUUCCGAAAAUCAAUUACGAAUGUUUUGUUUUUGAGGAGUUAUGACUUCAUCGGCUUGCUCCUUUCUUUACGAAACUUUCUUAAUGCACUUUUCAGUUAACAAGUCAACAUCAAUUUCUUUUGUUGUAAAAGGGUAAGAGGAAGGUGGCUUACGCUUCGGCGUAAGUGUUUAUAGCCUUUUACCUCUGCAAUCGGAGAGAUUGAGGACAGCAGCGUAGACUCUUCGGGGUUAGAUACACUUGUGCUAAGUUAUAGCUUUUCAUAGACAACUUGUUGACUAUGUUUAGUCUUGUAGCUUACUCGCUUAUGCUAUAUUACCUACGCUUAGGAUGUUGACAGCAGUAUAGACUGU